CCGACGAUGGAUAGCGAUACAGACGGAGACCCACAUUGGACCACCAGACUGAGCCCCCCAUGGUCCAAAUGAGGAGCAGAAGGAGGAAGAACAUGGGAUGUUCUUAAAACAAUAGUAAUAUUUUUUGAGACUCAUCACCAACUGUGUUGGGUUGUCUCCUGCCUGAUGACGUCUGUGGCUGAAGAGCAGCACCUUGCCUGUCUUGUGUGUGCCUUGUGAGUCCUUGCUGGGACAGAGUGGACCCUUACCUGAGAUUAGCUGAUGCAUAAAUACACAGACCAGAAUGACAUUGAACUCAACGACAUCCAGCUGCUUCUCCUUCCCAGAAGCAGGAGUGUGGACACUCAGGGAGCCAGCUUGGUUAACAGUCUUUUUUGGGUCGUUACAAGUCAACUUCUACCUGAAGUUUACCCUGUGUCUUUCCUUGUGGAUACCGUGGGAACUCAAUGCCAGUUCAACAGAAGUCAUAUAAGAAGAGUUGGUAUCUCAAACUGAAGUCGUGACUGGAACUCGGAAGAUGAUUGGGAUUAAAGGGAAAGAUGGGUCGUGGGUGAGGUACACCUUGUGUAGUGAGCACCUGCUCAGAGCUCGGGGUCACACCGAAGCUGUGAGAAGGGCCCUUCAUACUGUGGCCCCUAAAAGCAGAAGGUAUUGCCCAAAGAACAGGUAUUGCUACACAACUCCCACAGCCCAGCUCCAAUGAGUAAGACAGCCUUUGUUUAUCACCGCCUCCCCACCCAAACCACACUCAAAUAAGCAGCGAAAACCUCCAGACCUUAGUCAUCAGGCGAGGUAAAUUACAAACUUCUAAGAGUGUGGCUUCUCUGAGAUACCACAUUUUCCUCGUAUAAUGAGCCUGCAGUUUGUGGCGAAGAAUGACUUAAGAACAAGUGAACUCACUCUCUAAAAAGAGAGUUUUUAUCACUAUCAAUUGCUCCCUGACUGACAGGACUGUUAUUUCUUUCAGUAGGAGAAAGGGCUAAAAUACAGAGAGAAAACCUAGAAAUAAACACAGCCUGCAUAAUGGCAAGGUUUUGUGUUGCCAACGUCAAAAGAGCAAGUUCCUGGGCAAGAGACCUCGCUUUACUCCUGUUACAGUGACUUUGUAGCUUCUGAGUCCUUUAAAGCAGCUGCCACGGCCAGUUUGCCAUCAGAAAGCAGGGUCCCUGUAAACCUGGAGUUCAGUUGAGCAGGAAGAGGCUGGUGCAUGAAGCAGUAGGAAUCCACAUGCAGAGACUUGAUGUGGAAAUACCAUGGCAGUGUACACAGAAGGCUCCAGUGGAUUCAUCCUUUGGGGGAGUGUCCCUCAAGGUUUCCCACAAAUGACUCUGAGGUAGAUAUGGCACGAUGUGUAGGGAUAACCACAGAGAGGGGAGGGAAGUUGUUCUUUUUGGCAGUAACAUGGAGGUAAGUUCAUCCAGUGCCCGAGAUGUUGACUUGGCUGGAAUGUAGAGCCCAGCAGGGAGACAAGAGUAAGGAUGAGACAGGCUCAGGGAGCGUGCUGAUACGUGACAGCUAGAGAGGAAAUGCCUUGCAGGGUUGUUACCUAGAGGCUGAUGUAGCCAUACCUAGGAUGUAGUUAAUCACUGGCAGGAUGCCGAAGGUGUGUGAGGGACGCAGGAUACCAUGUCAUCCAGUAGCAAGUUAUUCUGGGAAUCUAGGCAAAGUAUCUUGACGUGACAUUGAGGCACGGUCUGAGUUUCAGGAGCGUCAGUAACUUUCGUUUUUUAUAAUGUUUGCCCAACUGUUAAUUUUGUAUUGUUACUAGAAAAUUUCUUAGAGGCAGCAGCAGAAGGCACAUUGCAGAUGGCAGAAAUAUUUUUCACAGCUUUUACGGUGGAUAACAAUAUACUUGACAUUUUUCUCAUUAAAUGUGAGCUUUGCUGUAUGAUUAAACUCGCUAGGCAUCUGUGAUCUAAAAUUACAAAUGUGAAAAGCAACAGCUCAAAUGUUUCAGUCAAUAAAUACACAGGAGACAGUCAACAUGUAACAACUCCAUCAUAUGCUCUCUUCAAGGAGCUGCUCCGCUGACACUCACAUGUUUUUGGCAAUGGCCUCACCUUCACACCAAUAGGAAUAAGGAAACCAAAGUCCCAGACUGAUAAUUACAGUCUGGGAGUCCAAUAGGAGUGAGUGGUUUCCAUUAGGAAAUCUCAAGGCUGAAGUCAGACAGAGCUGGGAGAAAAGAGAGGCUUUAUUGAGGCAAUUAGGGAAUUACCAAGAGGGUCCCCAGGGCAAUAGAACUACACUGAGCAAUUCACCAUAAUGUAAAAGCAUGGGAGAUCAGUGGA